rfam:Dipodomys ordii contig_60044, whole genome shotgun sequence.
AAAAAGGCUUUAAUUAAAGCCACCAAAUAAAAGUCAAAGUCACCU